AGCAGUCGCCGCGGUAAUACGUAGGUGGCAAGCGUUGUCCGGAAUUAUUGGGCGUAAAGCGCGCGCAGGUGGUUUAAUAAGUCUGAUGUGAAAGCCCACGGCUCAACCGUGGAGGGUCAUUGGAAACUGUUAAACUUGAGUGCAGGAGAGAAAAGUGGAAUUCCUAGUGUAGCGGUGAAAUGCGUAGAGAUUAGGAGGAACACCAGUGGCGAAGGCGGCUUUUUGGCCUGUAACUGACACUGAGGCGCGAAAGCGUGGGGAGCAAACAGGAUUAGAUACCCGAGUAGUCCCUGUCUCUUAUAC
rnacentral:rRNA from 1 species